GACGAACGCUGGCGGCGUGCUUAACACAUGCAAGUCGAGCGGUAAGGCCCUUUCGGGGGUACACGAGCGGCGAACGGGUGAGUAACACGUGGGUGACCUGCCCUUAGCUCUGGGAUAAGCCUGGGAAACUGGGUCUAAUACCGGAUAUGACUCCAUGACGCAUGUUGUGGGGUGGAAAGCCUUGUGCGGCUAGGGAUGGGCCCGCGGCCUAUCAGCUUGUUGGUGGGGUGAUGGCCUACCAAGGCGACGACGGGUAGCCGGCCUGAGAGGGCGACCGGCCACACUGGGACUGAGACACGGCCCAGACUCCUACGGGAGGCAGCAGUGGGGAAUCUUGCGCAAUGGGCGAAAGCCU
rnacentral:rRNA from 1 species